CACAGCUAUGGUCACCUAGCAGUGUGAAAUUAACAGCGGACCUUGAAGCAAUUCAGAAAAGAUUCACAAAGAAGAUUGUCUCUUUGCAACAGCUCAGCUACUGGGAAAGGUUGAAACAGCUAAGGCUCUACUCUCUGGAGCAAAGGCGGGAGAGGUAUUCAGUAACAUACAUAU